AUGAAUGCCACCCUUAUUUUGCCUGUGCUGAAGCAGGACCAGAUUUGGAAAGACCAAACGAAAUUUGAAGACAUUUUUGAUGUUGAUCAUUUCAUUGACUAUCUGAAGGAUGAUGUGCGAAUUGUUCGUGACAUACCUGAGUGGUUUACUGACAAAUCAGAAUUGUUCUCAAGCAUAAGACGGACAGUGAAAAAUAUUCCAAAAUAUGCACCUGCUCAAUUCUAUAUGGAUAAUGUUCUACCUCGAAUUAAGGAGAAGAAGAUAAUGGCCCUAAAGCCCUUUGUUGAUCGGCUUGGGUAUGAUAAUGUUCCUCCAGAAAUCAACAGGCUAAGGUGCAGGGUGAAUUAUCAUGCUCUGAAAUUUCUUCCUGAGAUAGAGCAGAUGGCUGAUUUAUUGGUAUCAAGGAUGAGGAACCGUACAGGAAGUUCAAAUCCGUAUAUGGCUCUUCAUCUUAGAUUUGAGAAAGGGAUGGUGGGUCUAUCAUUCUGUGAUUUUGUGGGAACUAGAGAGGAGAAAGCUAGAAUGGCUGAAUACAGAAAGAAAGAAUGGCCUAGACGGUAUAAGAAUGGUUCCCAUCUAUGGCAACUGGCUUUGCAAAAGCGGAAGGAAGGACGGUGCCCUCUUGAACCUGGGGAAGUGGCAGUGAUUCUUCGAGCAAUGGGUUAUCCUAAGGAAACUCAGAUUUAUGUUGCUUCUGGCCAGGUUUAUGGUGGGCAAAAUCGGAUGGCUCCAUUGAGGAACAUGUUCCCAAAUCUGGUAACAAAGGAGGAGCUGACUACCAAGGAAGAGUUGGAUGGUUUCAGAAAGCAUGUAACAAGCUUGGCAGCCCUUGACUUCUUGGUUUGCCUCAAGUCUGAUGUUUUUGUGAUGACCCAUGGAGGCAACUUUGCUAAAUUGAUAAUCGGGGCACGACGGUACAUGGGUCACCGUCAAAAAUCCAUAAAACCAGACAAGGGGCUAAUGUCUAAAUCUUUUGGAGAUCCUUACAUGGGCUGGGCAACUUUUGUAGAAGAUGUGAUUGUUACCCAUCAAACACGAACUGGGUUACCUGAAGAGACCUUCCCUAACUAUGACCUUUGGGAAAACCCUCUGACUCCUUGCAUGUGUAAAGCUUGACCACAUGUAUUUCUAGCUAGAAUUUUCACUAAUUUUAUUCAAGGAUCAUGUCUAUAUAGAAGCUGCAUGUCAUUGUUUGAGAAACUGAUUCUUGUAUCUAUAAGGAAGAAAUUCAGAGUUCAGACUGGCUGAUGGAUUUGGGUGAGGAACAUGAUAUGCUAUAACAGGUAACGUGGCUUGCUAGAGUUUUAUUUUGGCAAGGUUUUGUCGUGUUACCAUUUGUAGUAACAUUCUCUUUGCUGUGAUUGAGGUGGCUUGUGUUCUGGUGGUGGCUUG
rnacentral:misc_RNA from 1 species